rnacentral:rRNA from 1 species
CGUACACUCCUACGGGAGGCAGCAGUGAGGAAUAUUGGACAAUGGGUGGAAGCCUGAUCCAGCCAUCCCGCGUGCAGGAAGACGGCCCUAUGGGUUGUAAACUGCUUUUAUCUGGGGAUAAACCUACUUACGUGUAAGUAGCUGAAGGUACCAGAAGAAUAAGCACCGGCUAACUCCGUGCCAGCAGCCGCGGUAAUACGGAGGGUGCAAGCGUUAUCCGGAUUUAUUGGGUUUAAAGGGUCCGUAGGCGGACUGAUAAGUCAGUGGUGAAAUCCGACAGCUUAACUGUCGAACUGCCAUUUAUACUGUUAGUCUUGAGUAAGGUUGAAGUGGCUGGAAUAAGUAGUGUAGCGGUGAAAUGCAUAGAUAUUACUUAGAACACCAAUUGCGAAGGCAGGUCACUAAGUCUUAACUGACGCUGAUGGACGAAAGCGUGGGGAGCGAACAGGAUUAGAAACCCGAGUAGUCCCAUG